rnacentral:rRNA from 1 species
UACAGAGGUCCCAAGCGUUGUUCGGAUUCAUUGGGCGUAAAGGGUGCGUAGGCGGCGCGGUAAGUCGGGUGUGAAAUCUCGGAGCUUAACUCCGAAACUGCAUUCGAUACUGCCGUGCUUGAGGACUGGAGAGGAGACUGGAAUUUACGGUGUAGCGGUGAAAUGCGUAGAUAUCAGGAAGAACACCCGUGGCGAAGGCGGCUCUCUGGGACGGUACUGACGCUGAGACGCGAAAGCGUGGGGAGCAAACAGG